UACGUAGGGGGCUAGCGUUGUCCGGAAUCAUUGGGCGUAAAGAGCGCGUAGGCGGCCAGAUAAGUCCGGUGUGAAAGUCACAGGCUCAACCUGUGAAUGCCGCUGGAAACUGUCUGGCUAGAGUCCGGGAGGGGCGAGUGGAAUUCCUGGUGUAGCGGUGAAAUGCGCAGAUAUCAGGAGGAACACCGGUGGCGAAGGCGGAUCUCUGGGCCGAUACUGACGCUGAGGAGCGAAAGCGUGGGGAGCGAACAGG
rnacentral:rRNA from 1 species